GAGCGUAGAGGAGUAGUACCAGGACGC
rnacentral:sRNA from 1 species